rnacentral:lncRNA from 1 species
AGGGUAAAGUUCACAAUUUGGUUAAAUGUCCGUUUAACGGCUGGUGUCAGUACCGACGCUCUGGCACAGCGCGUUGCCUCCCGACGCGCAGGAGCUUGCCACCUGCUGACAGCAGGCUGCUGUCUUUUCCGAGGACUGCAUCUUGCCGGUCAUUAUAACGUGACAGUGACUAGUCAAUGACAGGCAUAAAAAGUCACUAUAGAGCAGUGAAAUCCACUAGUCGACUAGUUCAUACAACCCCUAUUGCUCCCCAGAGUGUUCUGCAGCAUAAUCAGCACGUUCUCUUUGAAAUAUCAAGUUCAAAGAGAACGUGCUGAUAUAUGCUGCAGAACACUCUGGGGGCAAGCUGCUAAACACUUUAACAUCGAUCCAUCAAACUGGCUGAGGAUUAAACUGAAAUGGAUUACCGGUAUUUUAUUUUUUUUACUUUAAACUGGACAAAGAUUGAAUUGAAUUUGAGGGUUUUUAUUUUAUUUUUUACUACAACCCAAAUGAGACGAAACAAUUCAACUUUGAAGCGGUAAGGUGGGUGUUGCCUUUUCUAAUACCAGUAUUUAAUAACGUUUAAAAUGCAGUACAGGUAUUGUUGCUAUUGCUUUGUUACAAUACAGUAUUUCCCUACUGUAAUUUAGCCUUGUUGUUAAUGUUUUAUAUGCAAACCGAACCACGUUAUGGUAACUGUACAUUUUCAAUAAAUGAACCUAGUAUUUUAUAGGGCUGUAGCGAAGCCUCGACGACGUCGACGGCUCGAUUCUAAAAAUUUGUCGACGUCAGAUCCGGAAGUCGACGCACCACGCCCACUUGUUGCAUCCCCAGGAGUUUGUAAAUAGAGGAGGAAUCUGCCUGUUUUUCCUCUAGUUCACCCUCUUCUCCGCCUUCACUAACAUCUCCGCCAAAUACCGAAGACCCGGAACAAUGUCCGUCCACUACUAGAUUAUUUUCCUGUUUUGCCCGCCUUCGUCUCCCGGCAACGGACAACAACUUCCGGGGUCAGAUGCGCUGCUUCGUCUCUACCGCAGAUGUAGAA